AUUGAACGCUGGCGGCAGGCCUAACACAUGCAAGUCGAACGAGUGGCGGACGGGUGAGUAAUGUCUGGGAAACUGCCCGAUGGAGGGGGAUAACUACUGGAAACGGUAGCUAAUACCGCAUACUAUCGGAUGAACCCAGAUGGGAUUAGCUUGUAGGUGGGGUAACGGCUCACCAAGGCGACGAUCUCUAGCUGGUCUGAGAGGAUGACCAGCCACACUGGAACUGAGACACGGCCCAGACUCCUACGGGAGGCAGCAGUGGGUAAUAUUGCACAAUGGGCGCAAGCCUGAUGCAGCCAUGCCGCGUGUAUGAAGAAGGCCUUAGGGUUGUAAAGUACUUGCAGCGGGGAGGCGUUACCCGCAGAAGAAGCACCGGCUAACUCCGUGCCAGCCGCCGCGGUAAUAC
rnacentral:rRNA from 1 species